AAGUCGGAAUUGCUAGUAAUCGCGGAUCAGCAUGCCGCGGUGAAUACGUUCCCGGGCCUUGUACACACCGCCCGUCACACCAUGAGAGUCGAUAACGCCCGAAGCCUGUAGUCUAACAGCAAUGAGGACGCAGUCGAAGGUGGGAUUGAUAAUUAGGGUGAAGUCGUAACAAGGUACC
rnacentral:rRNA from 1 species